rnacentral:tRNA from 1 species
GUGUCAGUGGUGCCGUUGGCAGAGCAUCGGACCUUUGAUCCGCGGGUCGUGGGUUCGAGCCCCACCGGGCCCA